GCACUGAUGGCUAAAUGGAAGAUCACACUGUAGCUGUUGUCUUAGUAAAAGUUACGGUUCCAGGUUCAAAUCCUGGUCAGUGCA
rnacentral:tRNA from 1 species